rnacentral:snoRNA from 1 species
UAGCAUAUGAUGGAAAAACCUUAAUCUUCUGAGACUUGUGAUGUCUUCAAAGGAACCACUGAUGCACAUGUGGAAAUUUUAUAA